rnacentral:misc_RNA from 1 species
UCCCGUUUGCUACGGGCAGUCUCGCUAGAGAAGUACAACUAGCGACAAGGGUUGCGCUCGUUGCGGGACUUAACCCAACACCUCACGGCACGAGCUGACGACAGCCGUGCAUCACCUCGCACAGUGCCCCGAAGGGAGACCAGCUUUCACUGGCUGUCACUGCACGUUCAAGCCCAGGUAAGGUUCUUCGCGUCGCAUCGAAUUAAACCACACGCUCCGCUGCUUGUGCGGGCCCCCGUCAAUUCCUUUGAGUUUUAGCCUUGCGGCCGUACUCCCCAGGCGGCUCACUUAAUGCGUUAGCUUCGACGCGGAGGGGGUCGAUACCCCCCACACCUAGUGUCCAUCGUUUACGGCUAGGACUAC